rnacentral:rRNA from 1 species
GUGAGGAAUAUUGCGCAAUGGAGGCAACUCUGACGCAGCCAUGCCGCGUGCAGGAAGAAGGCGCUACGCGUUGUAAACUGCUUUUAACCGGGAAGAAACCCCAGGACGUGUCCUGGGUUGACGGUACCGGAGGAAUAAGCACCGGCUAACUUCGUGCCAGCAGCCGCGGUAAUACGAAGGGUGCAAGCGUUAUCCGGAUUCAUUGGGUUUAAAGGGUGCGUAGGCGGAGCGUUAAGUCAGUGGUGAAAUCCUGCAGCUUAACUGUAGACUUGCCAGUGAUACUGGCGCUCUUGAGUGCGCUAGAAGUGGGCGGAAUGUGACGUGUAGCGGUGAAAUGCUUAGAUAUGGCACAGAACACCAAUUGCGAAGGCAGCUCACUAAGGCGAUACUGACGCUGAGGCACGAAAGCGUGGGGAUCGAACAGGAUUAGAAACCCGGGUAGUCC